rnacentral:rRNA from 1 species
CCAAUAGCGUAUAUUAAAGUUGUUGCAGUUAAAAAGCUCGUAGUUGAAUUUCGGGAUUAGUGCGCCGGUCGUGCCUUCGGUAUGUACUGGUGUUACUGGUUCCUACCUUCUGACGAACCGUCAUGUCAUUAAUUUGGUGUGGCGGGGAAUCAGGACUGUUACUUUGAAAAAAUUAGAGUGUUUAAAGCAGGCUCGCGCUUGAAUACAUUAGCAUGGAAUAAUGAAAUAGGACGUUCGAUCCUAUUUUGUUGGUUUCUAGGAUUGACGUAAUGAUUAAUAGGGAUAGUUGGGGGCAUUAGUAUUCAAUUGUCAGAGGUGAAAUUCUUGGAUUUAUUGAAGACUAACUACUGCGAAAGCAUUUGCCAAGGAUGUUUUCAUUAAUCAAGAACGAAAGUUAGGGGAUCGAAGACGAUCAGAUACCGUCGUAGUCUUAACCAUAAACUAUGCCGACUAGGGAUCGGAUGAUGUUAUUUUUAAUGACUCAUUCGGCGCCUUACG